rnacentral:rRNA from 1 species
AGAGUUUGAUCAUGGCUCAGGAUGAACGCUGGCGGUAUGCCUAACACAUGCAAGUCGAACGAUGUCUUCGGACAUAGUGGCGGACGGGUGAGUAACGCGUGAGAAUCUGCCUCUAGGAUGGGGAUAACGGUUGGAAACGACCGCUAACACCCAAUAUGCCGUAAGGUGAAAAAUUUAUUGCCUGGAGAGGAGCUCGCGUCUGAUUAGCUAGUUGGUGGGGUAAGAGCUCACCAAGGCUUCGAUCAGUAGCUGGUCUGAGAGGAUGAGCAGCCACACUGGGACUGAGACACGGCCCAGACUCCUACGGGAGGCAGCAGUGGGGAAUUUUCCGCAAUGGGCGAAAGCCUGACGGAGCAAUACCGCGUGAGGGAGGAAUGCCUUUGGGUUGUAAACCUCUUUUCUCAGGGAAGAAGAUCUGACGGUACCUGAGGAAUAAGUAUCGGCUAACUCCGUGCCAGCAGCCGCGGUAAUACGGAGGAUGCAAGCGUUAUCCGGAAUCAUUGGGCGUAAAGCGUCCGCAGGUGGUUUCCAAAGUCUGCUGUUAAAGACUGGAGCUCAACUCCGGAACGGCGGUGGAAACUUGGAAACUAGAGUUCGGUAGGGGUAGCAGGAAUUCCCAGUGUAGCGGUGAAAUGCGUAGAUAUUGGGAAGAACAUCGGUGGCGAANGCGUGCUACUGGACCGUAACUGACACUCAGGGACGAAAGCUAGGGGAGCGAAAGGGAUUAGAUACCCCUGUAGUCCUAGCUGUAAACGAUGGAAACUANGUGUGGCUUGUAUCGACCCGAGCCGUGCCGUANCUAACGCGUUAAGUUUCCCGCCUGGGGAGUAC